rnacentral:piRNA from 1 species
ACUGUCUGUAACUCUAAGUCCAG